rnacentral:rRNA from 1 species
GACGAACGCUGGCGGCGUGCUUAACACAUGCAAGUCGAACGAAGUGGCGAACGGGUGCGUAAUACGUGGGUAACCUGCCCUCCUUUUUGGGAUAAGCAUUGGAAACGGGGUCUAAUACCGAAUAAAGGGGGAUGGGCUCGCGGCCUAUCAGCUUGUUGGUGGGGUGAAGGCCUACCAAGGCGGUGACGGGUAGCCGGCCUGAGAGGGGGACCGGCGACAGUGGGACGGAGAUACGGCCCAGAGUCCUACGGGAGGGAGCAGUGGGGGAUAGUGCACAAUGGUCGAAAGCCUGAUGCAGCGACGCGGCGUGGGGGAUGAAGGCUUUCGGGUUGUAGACCUCUUUCGCUCUCGAACGGGUAGGUGGAGAAGAAGCGCCGGCUAACUACGUGCCAGCAGCCGCGGUAAUAC